rnacentral:piRNA from 1 species
UAGGUGGGGCACAGACAUAGCCAGGAAUGUC